CAACGAAACCCCAAAAAUAUAUUUUCAUAAACUGAUACGAUAGUCGGUAACCACGAAUUAGGUACGAUUAUAUUCAAACAUCAAACAUUAUUGCUUCAAAGUUCAAACGACGUGCCGUAAAUUGUCGGAGGGGUCGGCUCGGACGUUAAUGCGGGAGAGGGUUUAGGAGGGUUUAACCCACUUUUUAUUAAAAUCAAUCAUUUAAUUUCUGAGAUGAAAAAUACACUACAAACAUAUUUACACCAGGGACUCGAUGAGUCCAUCGGUACGUACCCAUAACUUUUACCGAUGACAUGGACCGUUUGAGAUUUAUCUACCGCGGCGGCGAUCAAACCGCAGCCUGCUGACCUACAACUAUUCUAUAUAAAACGUUUUAGAUAUUCUGUCGAUCCAACCGAGUUCUUCUGCCAUAAUCAGUUUAUCACGUCAUUGCUCGUUACCAGUAAGUUGUUGACGUUGUUGACGCUGUUGUAUUCUCUAAUCUCCGUCGCCUUGCAAAGGCGUCGUUCGCCCGCCGCCCGGUUAACGGCCGGUUAAUAGCGAUCCCCUGUUAAACCCGUGUACGGUUAUCCUCUGUUUCGGUCGAGCCAUUCGCUUUUGCCUUUGCCGUCGCGCCGCCUUCGCUGUGGUCACACAGUUCGGUCUGUGUUUGCACGUCUAUCCGGGGUUGGCGCCAGUUUUGCCCGGACUACGCGUGUCAGUGGUGCGUGCUUAUAUACACGGACAGGUGCAGUUUUGGUCCGCGACGCUUCGUCUCGGUUAACGGCGUAACGUAUUUCGCGCCCACCGCCGCCGCCUCCGUUAACUCCUACUACACAGCCGAAUGCCUCCGUUGUUGCUACGAGUCGUGCAGGCUUAUCGCAGGAUAUUGUGAAGAUAUGGUGUUCAAACAAGAUGACAGAGAAGCUUAUGCAGGCUACUGAUUGGGUUGAAGAUAGUUACCACUUACCACAUUAUAUUGUUAUUUAAUCUAGAACACUUAAAAUCUGUUAUAUUUCUGUCGUCAUUGUAAUUUUUACUCUUUAACACAUUGUGAAAUGAAUCAACAAAAUAACAUUAUUUUCAAUGCCAAAAACAUUUAAAUUAAUUCAUAUGCAUCAUGCACACUGUAAUAAUGCAGUGUAAAGUGAAUUAAAAAGUAAUUCAAUCACUCAGAUUAAUUUAUUGAACAUUUAAUUUAGAUCUCUUGAUCCAUUUCAUUUUGAAACAAGAAUAUUAUACCCUUAACAGUAAGCUUUCAAUAUAUACAAUGAAAAUUUGUGAAAAAAAUUUGACAAUACCUAUGGUCCUAUUUACCGUGAUGAAAUUACAAUUUCUAUCAACUAUUUAGAAUGUAUUGUGUCUUACAGAGAUUAUUUACUUGUUAUUACAAAAAAUAAAUAAAUAAAUUUGUAUUUUUUUAUUAA